GCCCUGACCCCACGUGUGGUACGUGAGGGGAAGGAUACCUGGCAUUGGAGAUCUUCCUUGCGUACAUGUGCAGGACUUUGUUCUUUCCCGCACUUUGCACUGGCCAGCAGAGGGCGCUGCCCAAGGACCGAGGCCACUAGGGAGAUGGACGAGAAUCCUUCCUUGUGUAGGGCGAGUAAGUCCAGUCUCUCUCUCUCUCUCUCUCUCUCUCUCUCUCUCUCUCUCUCUCUCUCUCUCUAGAGAUGAAUGGGCCCUGGGAAGUUUGCCUUUCUUUCUGGGGAUCUAGACUUAACCUGUCAGUAGAGGGCUAGCAGUUAGACCACAGAAUGAACCCUGGUGGCUUCGGGCAGGAAGGAACUUGAGGGGAGCCAUCAUCUCUUCUUUCUGCAUCUUGAAUGAGGAGGGUGCCCUGGAGGUGGCCGGCUUUCCUUCCCUGACCUUGGGAGAAGGGUUGGGAGGGGCUGCAUAGAAUAGCUGUGUCCCACCCUGUGGGAGGGACUGCUGUGGACAUCUGGGCCACAUCUGGAAUCCUGGCAAGACAGCUCAUGGGUUACAGGAUCCAGCUCUUGGUGGUUGCUCACCAUUACGUUCC
rnacentral:lncRNA from 1 species